CUUCUAGAUUCCGCAGCACAUAUGCUAAAAUUGGCAUGAUACAGAGAAGAUUACUCUGGCCCCUUCAAAAGGAUGACAUGCAAACUUAUGAAGUGUGUCAUAUUUUU
ensembl:snRNA U6 U6 spliceosomal RNA